rnacentral:rRNA from 3 species
UGGAGCCGACCUUGAAAUACCACCCUUUAAUGUUUGAUGUUCUAACGUGGACCCGUGAUCCGGGUUGCGGACAGUGUCUGGUGGGUAGUUUGACUGGGGCGGUCUCCUCCUAAAGAGUAACGGAGGAGCACGAAGGUUGGCUAAUCCUGGUCGGACAUCAGGAGGUUAGUGCAAUGGCAUAAGCCAGCUUGACUGCGAGCGUGACGGCGCGAGCAGGUGCGAAAGCAGGUCAUAGUGAUCCGGUGGUUCUGAAUGGAAGGGCCAUCGCUCAACGGAUAAAAGGUACUCCGGGGAUAACAGGCUGAUACCGCCCAAGAGUUCAUAUCGACGGCGGUGUUUGGCACCUCGAUGUCGGCUCAUCACAUCCUGGGGCUGAAGUAGGUCCCAAGGGUAUGGCUGUUCGCCAUUUAAAGUGGUACGCGAGCUGGGUUUAGAACGUCGUGAGACAGUUCGGUCCCUAUCUGCCGUGGGCGCUGGAGAACUGAGGGGGGCUGCUCCUAGUACGAGAGGACCGGAGUGGACGCAUCACUGGUGUUCGGGUUGUCAUGCCAAUGGCACUGCCCGGUAGCUAAAUGCGGAAGAGAUAAGUGCUGAAAGCAUCUAAGCACGAAACUUGCCCCGAGAUGAGUUCUCCCUGAGACUUAGAGUCUCCUGAAGGAACGUUGAAGACGACGACGUUGAUAGGCCGGGUGUGUAAGCGCAGCGAUGCGUUGAGCUAACCGGUACUAAUGAACCGUGAGGCUUAACCUU